CAGACGGGUGGCAGCAGGGAGGAAGAGGGGGCAAGGGGCGGGAGCCUGAACCAGCCAAGGCGCGUGAGGGACGACGGUCCUAUGGAUUGUAAACCUCUUUUGUCGGGGAACAAAGGCGACCACGGGUGGGCGGAUGAGUGUACCCGAAGAAAAAGCAUCGGCUAACUCCGUGCCAGCAGCCGCGGUAAUACGGAGGAUGCGAGCGUUAUCCGGCUUUAUUGGGUUUAAAGGGUGCGUAGGCGGACAGUCAAGUCAGCGGUAAACAUGCGGUGCUCAACGCCGUACAGCCGUUGAAACUGGCAGUCUUGAGUGCGCGAGAAGUAUGCGGAAUGCGUGGUGUAGCGGUGAAAUGCAUAGAUAUCACGCAGAACUCCGAUUGCGAAGGCAGCAUACCGGCGCCCGACUGACGCUGAGGCACGAAAGCGUGGGUAUCGAACAGGAUUAGAUACCCCUGUAGUC
rnacentral:rRNA from 1 species